GGGGGCGCUCCGGCUCCGAGGCGGCUGCGAGCGCCAAGCGGGGUGGUGGUGGAUUUUUUUUUUUUUUUCUUCUCCUCUUUAUUUGUUUCCUCCUCUUUUUUUUUUUUUUUCCCUUUUCUUUUUUUUUUUCUCCUUUUUUUUUUUUUUUUUUUCCUCGCCUCUCUCCCGGCUGAGUGCAGCCACACAUGACGCCAGCCCCCCAGCCCGCCACGCGCUACUUCCCGGCCGGCCCUCCGCCCCCCCCCACCCCCCCCGGCCCCGUUCCCUAGAAAUGCAGCCGAGGCGCGGGGAAGAGGGGACGCGGUUUUGGCGGGGGGGGAAGAGAUUCUUUUUGUUCUGUUGGGGGACAGCUUUGGUUUGUUGUUUUCCAGUUUCUUUUUUUCUUCCCCCCCCCCUCCCCCUUGCACACAAAAUAAGUGAAGAAGAUGUGGCAAGGUGUGGCCGCGCCGUCGGGGCCGAGGAAUCUCUGGCACCGCAGGAGCAGCAGCCCACACCAGUUUUUUAUUUUAAUUACAGGUAGUCGAGCUUCCUAAUUUGUAGAAGAGAGUUGCAAAACUCGUUCCUGUGAAAAUCAGAGUCCCCACUUAAAAGAACGUGGAGCAGCCUCUGCUUCGGACAGGAGGACGUCCGUCCCAGGAGAAAGAGCAUCAGUUCUCAGUUGGGCCACCUUCCAUGCGAUGGAGCAACGUAGCUAAGCUGUAGGUUGCCUUAUGCUUGCAACACUGCAACCCCGAGGAAGUCUGCAUCUGCAGAGAUCUGCCUUCAUGCCUGGACUGAUAAGCGACGCUGGGGAAGCGUCUUGGCCAGAUGCUGCUGCAGUAUCCCGCCUCCUCAUCGCAUCGCCCUCUGGAAGACAGAAGUGACGAUCAGCAGCGUGGUGUUGUCCUGCAGGCAGCUGAAGAACCACUUUGACAGCAAGCAGGAGAACAACUAUGCAGUGUAAUCACAGCCUGUCUGUGCUCUUUCUAACAGUGUACAUGAGCACCCUAUUCCCAGCGAGGGGAUGCUGUAACCUCCCCCUGCUGACCUGUAUUCUUCUCCGUUACUGUAACCAAGCUGUUUCUUUCCCACGGCCACGCGUUCCUGCAGAUAUACCAAGGGUUCCCAUGCAGAUAGGUUUACAAAUUCAGGAAGGGCUUGGACAGAGCAAAAGGAGAAUGAAGUAAUUCCCAAAUAUUUGCACUGUGGCUGAUGAAAUUAGCAGGAGAGCUGAGUGGGUGUAUAGGGGUCUGCUGGGGGACGGAUGGAAGGAAACCUGGGGACAAACUGUCUGCUGUUCGACGUGCUCUGAGUGCUGUGUGAUAAAGGUGAAUCACCCAGCUUAGCUGCAGGUGAGCCAGCAGGACAGUGGCUGGGGCCGAGUCCCACUGCAGCCUGUGUGGGGGCUGUGUGCUGGGUCCGGUGGGCUUUGAAUCCCACCACAAAGACAGUGGCUGUCGACAAGGUCACGAACGCAGAGCUUCGCCUUCUGUUGAUUAUGUGGUUGUCAGUGGAAGAAUUACUGUGUAUCUAUGGGAAAUGUUAAAAAACAACAACGCCUUUUUUUCUUGAAUAAAUCUGUGAAACGAACCAACCUUUGUUUCUGUUCUGUUUCUUUGGGUUUCAUUCCCUUUGCGCUUAGCGACCCAUCGCUGUCCAACCCCCCCCCCCU
rnacentral:lncRNA from 1 species